AGACCCGAAACCCGGUGAUCUAGCCAUGGGCAGGUUGAAGGUUGGGUAACACUAACUGGAGGACCGAACCGACUAAUGUUGAAAAAUUAGCGGAUGACUUGUGGCUGGGGGUGAAAGGCCAAUCAAACCGGGAGAUAGCUGGUUCUCCCCGAAAGCUAUUUAGGUAGCGCCUCGUGAAUUCAUCUCCGGGGGUAGAGCACUGUUUCGGCAAGGGGGUCAUCCCGACUUACCAACCCGAUGCAAACUGCGAAUACCGGAGAAUGUUAUCACGGGAGACACACGGCGGGUGCUAACGUCCGUCGUGAAGAGGGAAACAACCCAGACCGCCAGCUAAGGUCCCAAAGUCAUGGUUAAGUGGGAAACGAUGUGGGAAGGCCCAGACAGCCAGGAUGUUGGCUUAGAAGCAGCCAUCAUUUAAAGAAAGCGUAAUAGCUCACUGGUCGAGUCGGCCUGCGCGGAAGAUGUAACGGGGCUAAACCAUGCACCGAAGCUGCGGCAGCGACACUGUGUGUUGUUGGGUAGGGGAGCGUUCUGUAAGCCUGUGAAGGUGUGCUGUGAGGUAUGCUGGAGGUAUCAGAAGUGCGAAUGCUGACAUAAGUAACGAUAAAGCGGGUGAAAAGCCCGCUCGCCGGAAGACCAAGGGUUCCUGUCCAACGUUAAUCGGGGCAGGGUGAGUCGACCCCUAAGGCGAGGCCGAAAGGCGUAGUCGAUGGGAAACAGGUUAAUAUUCCUGUACUUGGUGUUACUGCGAAGGGGGGACGGAGAAGGCUAUGUUGGCCGGGCGACGGUUGUCCCGGUUUAAGCGUGUAGGCUGGUUUUCCAGGCAAAUCCGGAAAAUCAAGGCUGAGGCGUGAUGACGAGGCACUACGGUGCUGAAGCAACAAAUGCCCUGCUUCCAGGAAAAGCCUCUAAGCAUCAGGUAACAUCAAAUCGUACCCCAAACCGACACAGGUGGUCAGGUAGAGAAUACCAAGGCGCUUGAGAGAACUCGGGUGAAGGAACUAGGCAAAAUGGUGCCGUAACUUCGGGAGAAGGCACGCUGAUAUGUAGGUGAAGUCCCUCGCGGAUGGAGCUGAAAUCAGUCGAAGAUACCAGCUGGCUGCAACUGUUUAUUAAAAACACAGCACUGUGCAAACACGAAAGUGGACGUAUACGGUGUGACGCCUGCCCGGUGCCGGAAGGUUAAUUGAUGGGGUCAGCGCAAGCGAAGCUCUUGAUCGAAGCCCCGGUAAACGGCGGCCGUAACUAUAACGGUCCUAAGGUAGCGAAAUUCCUUGUCGGGUAAGUUCCGACCUGCACGAAUGGCGUAAUGAUGGCCAGGCUGUCUCCACCCGAGACUCAGUGAAAUUGAACUCGCUGUGAAGAUGCAGUGUACCCGCGGCAAGACGGAAAGACCCCGUGAACCUUUACUAUAGCUUGACACUGAACAUUGAGCCUUGAUGUGUAGGAUAGGUGGGAGGCUUUGAAGUGUGGACGCCAGUCUGCAUGGAGCCGACCUUGAAAUACCACCCUUUAAUGUUUGAUGUUCUAACGUGGACCCGUGAUCCGGGUUGCGGACAGUGUCUGGUGGGUAGUUUGACUGGGGCGGUCUCCUCCUAAAGAGUAACGGAGGAGCACGAAGGUUGGCUAAUCCUGGUCGGACAUCAGGAGGUUAGUGCAAUGGCAUAAGCCAGCUUGACUGCGAGCGUGACGGCGCGAGCAGGUGCGAAAGCAGGUCAUAGUGAUCCGGUGGUUCUGAAUGGAAGGGCCAUCGCUCAACGGAUAAAAGGUACUCCGGGGAUAACAGGCUGAUACCGCCCAAGAGUUCAUAUCGACGGCGGUGUUUGGCACCUCGAUGUCGGCUCAUCACAUCCUGGGGCUGAAGUAGGUCCCAAGGGUAUGGCUGUUCGCCAUUUAAAGUGGUACGCGAGCUGGGUUUAGAACGUCGUGAGACAGUUCGGUCCCUAUCUGCCGUGGGCGCUGGAGAACUGAGGGGGGCUGCUCCUAGUACGAGAGGACCGGAGUGGACGCAUCACUGGUGUUCGGGUUGUCAUGCCAAUGGCACUGCCCGGUAGCUAAAUGCGGAAGAGAUAAGUGCUGAAAGCAUCUAAGCACGAAACUUGCCCCGAGAUGAGUUCUCCCUGACCCUUUAAGGGUCCUGAAGGAACGUUGAAGACGACGACGUUGAUAGGCCGGGUGUGUAAGCGCAGCGAUGCGUUGAGCUAACCGGUACUAAUGAACCGUGAGGCUUAACCUUACAACGCCGAAGGUGUUU
rnacentral:rRNA from 1 species